rnacentral:misc_RNA from 1 species
GAAAUGCGAUAAGUAAUGUGAAUUGCAGAAUUCAGUGAAUCAUCGAAUCUUUGAACGCACCUUGCGCUCUUUGGUAUUCCGAAGAGCAUGCCUGUUUGAGUGUCAUGAAAAUAUCAACCUUGACUUGGGUUUUGUGCUCUAGUCUCGGCUUGGAAUUGGGUGCUUGCCGCUUUUACGAGCGGCUCACCUUAAAUGUAUUAGCUGGAUCUGUCUUUGAGACUUGGUUUGACUUGGCGUAAUAAGUAUUUCGCUAAGGACAUUCUUCGGAGUGGCCUCGUUUCUAGGACGCUUGUCCGCUUUCCAAUACAAGUUCCACCUCGUGGACAUGACUUUUUAUUAUCUGGCCUCAAAUCAGGUAGGACUACCCGCUGAACUUAA